CGUGACCCGCAGCCCACCCCUGCACCAGUGGACACUGCGGGAUGGCCAGGCCUCAGCUCUGCAUUUUCACUUCUCUUAGCUCUCAUCUCCUCCACACAGAGACAGCUCUUUCUGAGUAUCUUUCUGAUACUGUUCUUUAUCCCCCAGGACUGGCCCAGCCCAGGGCGGUGCAUACAGCAGAUACUUAAUGUAACACAGUAGCAGCUUUUAAUUUCUCAGGCCAAUGAGAUACAGACAGUCACUGGUAUGGUAGUUUUUCAGUCAAGCAUCAAGGGAAGAACCUAUUAGUUUGAAUUAUACAAACAACAGAAGUAGAAAACUCCACAAUGAAAAAUCUCAGCUGGUAGAGAAGCUCAGGAGCU
rnacentral:antisense_RNA from 1 species